AGCGAACGCUGGCGGCAGGCCUAACACAUGCAAGUCGAACGAACCCUUCGGGUUAGUGGCAGACGGGUGAGUAACACGUGGGAACGUGCCUUUUGGUUUCGGAACAACUCAGGGAAACUUGAGCUAAUACCGGAUGUGCCCUCGGGGUAAGGAUUAUCGCCAUUAGAGCGGCCCGCCGUCUGAUUAGCUAGUUGGUUGAGGUAAAGGACUCACCAAGGCUUCGAUCAGUAGCUGGUCUGAGAGGAUGAUCAGCCAC
rnacentral:rRNA from 1 species